GCGGGAGGUCCGCGAGGCGGCGCGCGGGAUGGGCUACGGCCCCGUGAGGCUGCUGUUCGGUGUCGAACUCCCGCU
rnacentral:tRNA from 1 species